rnacentral:rRNA from 1 species
GACGAACGCUGGCGGCGUGCUUAACACAUGCAAGUCGAACGGAAAGGCCCUGCUUUUGUGGGGUGCUCGAGUGGCGAACGGGUGAGUAACACGUGAGUAACCUGCCCUGGACUUUGGGAUAACUUCAGGAAACUGGGGCUAAUACCGGAUAGGAGCUCCUGCUGCAUGGUGGGGGUUGGAAAGUUUCGGCGGUUGGGGAUGGACUGGCGGCUUAUCAGCUUGUUGGUGGGGUAGUGGCUUACCAAGGCUUUGACGGGUAGCCGGCCUGAGAGGGUGACCGGCCACAUUGGGACUGAGAUACGGCCCAGACUCCUACGGGAGGCAGCAGUGGGGAAUAUUGCACAAUGGGCGGAAGCCUGAUGCAGCAACGCCGCGUGCGGGAUGACGGCCUUCGGGUUGUAAACCGCUUUCGCCUGUGACGAAGCGUGAGUGACGGUAAUGGGUAAAGAAGCACCGGCUAACUACGUG